rnacentral:rRNA from 1 species
AGCGAACGCUGGCGGCGUGCUUAACACAUGCAAGUCGAGUGCGCAGCCCUUUGUAGCAAUACAGAGGGUGGGCGCACGGCGCACGGGUGAGUAACACGUGGGUAACCUGCCCUUCGGUAGGGAAUAACCCGCGAAAGCGGGCGUAAUUCCGCAUAACAUUCCGGGACGACAUGUUCUCGGACGUCAAAGGAGUGAUUCGCCGGAGGAGGGGCCC